CCCUUGUGAUCAGAUUUGUACCAACACAAAUGGCAGCUACUCGUGUUCCUGCGAGCCUCUCUUUACUCUGAACACAGACAACGCAACGUGCUCUAGUAUAUGUGCAUCGUAUGAUAGUUAUGAAACAGAAGUUAUUUCAAAUAUUACAAAAAAGGAAUGCUUUGACAAAUGUGCCGCUGAUCCGUUUUGUCAAGGAUUUAGUUAUUUGGGAACCGACUUCUGUGAGCUCUACAAAGCUUCGGGAAAUCUCACUGACUUUGAAAAUGACCAACAUGGGAUAAAAUAUGUUACCUGCCCAAAUAACAUUGCAAGCAAGUGUUUAGCUUUUUCCACAGACAGGGUCAUAACCACAGCUGAUGAAACACUUAAGGAUUGUUUUAACUCUUGCUCCAAAACACAAUACUGCUUUUGGUAUGAGUUUGGCGGCUCUAAUGUCUGCCGCAUUUCCACCCUAAGCGGGACUGCAGAUUUAAAUGUUGACGAUCCAGCCUAUGUAUAUAUUGGCUGCUAAAUAACAACUACUCAUCUGCCUGAGUCUUCUGGGAAAAAAUACGAUGUAAAAUAUUUGUGGCAUGUUUUAUUUUUAUAUCUUUAGGUGUACAAUGCAGAUGAAAUUAUUUAACUGUUUAAUUCUAAGCUUUUUAGCAUUUUACUUUCUCGUAUAUACGAAGUAUAGAGAAAGUCUUGUAAUCGUGCAAAAACAAAAUCGAGAUUUUUGCAAAUCUCGACGUUUUACACCUCACUGAUACGGAAAAACAUAAUUUUGCAAUCUUGUCCGUAUGUCUGUGUGUCUGUCUGUCUGUCUGUCCGUGUGUAAACACGAUUACUUGAGUACCGUUACAGCUAGAUUGAUGAAAUUUCAUAUAUAAGUAUUUUAUCAAAAUCUUAGAUCCGUAUCAACUUUUGAGCGAUUUCCGAUAACCGGAAGUGAUACUUUUUCUACUUUGUAUUUUUCAAAAGCCUAUAACUUGAGUACUAUUUCAUCUAGAUAAAUGAAAUUUCACAUGUAAGUAAAA